rnacentral:rRNA from 1 species
AUGGAUCAAGACCUCAAGUUUGUCUUCUGGAAUGUCCAUUGAUUGAAUUGCAGAGCCAAGCACACUGCAAUCCGAACUGUCGUCACCCGCGCCCCCUCUGUUGUCUGCCUCUCGGAGACCAAGCUCUCCCUGGUCUCGUCCGCGAUCAUUCUCGAAAUGCUCGGCCCUCCGUUUACCGAUUUUUUCUGGUUACCAAAUACUGGCACGCGGGGCAACAUCCUCCUUGCAUGGCGCCCCGAUCUUCUCAGCCUUUUCAACCCCGCCAUUGGAUCCUACCAUGUCUCCGCUGUGGUCACCACCACGUUGGGCACUCAUCCCUGGUGGAUCACCGGCGUGUACAGUCCGCAAGACGCUGAAGACAAAAUCGCGUUCAUGAACGAGCUGCAUGAGCUACAUGCCACCAUGUCCGGGCCAUGGCUGCUGGGAGGGGACUUCAACAUGGUCACGUCAGUCGCUGACAAGAACAACGGCCGGAUUAACCAGCGUACCUCCAGCAGAUUCCGACGCUUCAUCACGGACCACGCCCUUCGCGACAUCUACAUGCAUGGGAGGCGCUACACCUGGUCGAGCGAGCAGGACAUCCCCACGCUGGUCCGCAAUGACCGUGUGUUGUGCACCACCUCCUAG